rnacentral:rRNA from 1 species
UGGGGGAUAUUGCACAAUGGGCGCAAGCCUGAUGCAGCGACGCCGCGUGGGGGAUGAAGGCCUUCGGGUUGUAAACUUCUUUUGCUCUGAACAAGGCGCACUUUGGGGUGUGUUGAGUGUAGGGGUUGAUUAGCGCCGGCUAACUACGUGCCAGCAGCCGCGGUAAUACGUAGGGCGCGAGCGUUGUCCGGAAUUAUUGGGCGUAAAGGGCUUGUAGGUGGCUGGUUGCGUCUGUCGUGAAAGAUCAUGGCUUAACUGUGGGUUUGCGGUGGGUACGGGCUGGCUUGAGUGCAGUAGGGGAGGGUGGAAUUCCUGGUGUAGCGGUGGAAUGCGCAGAUAUCAGGAGGAAUAACGGUGGCGAAGGCGGGUCUCUGGGCUGUUACUGACACUGAGGAGCGAAAGCAUGGGGAGCGAACAGG